GUUAAUGUCAAUGACCUAACAAGUGUUCUACAAAACACUGGGUUCAGACUCGAAGCAAAAGAAAUCAACGACCUGAAGACUCACAUGCCAGUGACUGGAAAAAAAGUCAAUGUCAGUAAUCUGGAAACUCUUCUAAAUAAUAUAGAAAUCGAAGUUGGGAAAGAGGAAUAUGAGGACCUACUGAACCAUCUGCCAGUUGAUGAAAAUGAAAUGGUUGAUGUGAAUGUGGUGAUGGAUGAAGCAAAAGCUUUUACAGGAGAAAAAGUUAAUGUCAGUAAUCUGGGGAAUGAGCUGAGGAAAAUGGGGCUCGUACUCACUGAUGAGGAGCACGAGAAGCUGCUGAAAACUCUGCC